rnacentral:lncRNA from 1 species
UGGGGGAAGGGUAGGAAAAUGCCUGAAGGAACGAGAGCUAACGGUUUUCCAACUGUGAUGAAAACACUAUGCCCACAGAUGCAACACGCUCAAGCCCCAGGCAAGGUAAAGCAAAGAAGGUAAACUGUGUGAAGCCCAAGGGGUGCACUGUUUUAUCUUCCUCUGCACUGCAUGCAAUCCAGAGCCUGCUUUCUUAGCACUUAGGUCUUGGCGUGGAAAACACUUUCUCAGGCUACCCCACAUCUGUCCAAGUAUGCAGCAGCCACCACCGACACCUACCCCAGCCUUGCACUGGAGUUGAGCGCCCCCCAUCUCCAUGACAACCAUCACCCCAGCAAUGACACGCAAGGCAGCCUCCACCUGUGCGGCAGAAUGUGAUGCUGGGCUUGACACCUCAGAUACAGCAAUGCCCACAGAAGAGAUGUGUGGGACAGCAUCAUACCCAGCCAGAGGUACCCAGGAGAGGCAAAGGCAGCCAGGACGCCAGGGAUUACAGGGGCCACUCCGCAGGCCUCCUGGUCUCAAUACAAGAACAAAGAGGGGACAAUGCAGGAAGCAGCACAGAAAAGACCAGGCCCAGCCACUCUGCCUCCCCACUCUCUGUUUUGGUUCCCCCAGCCAGUGGGGCCACAACGGAAGAAGGACAAGGCCCAUCUGUUUGUACAGCUGAAGCUGGCUUGUCAACUCAAAAAUCACAACAAUAG